UACGUAGGGGGCGAGCAUUGUCCGAAGUUACUGGGCGUAAAGCGCACGUAGGCGGCCUGUAAGUUACAUCUGAAAGGUGACAGCUCAACUGUCAAUGGUGGUGUAAGACUGCAGAGCUUGAGGUGAGCAAAAGAAUGUGGAACUCCGAGUGUAGCGGUGGAAUGCGUAGAGAUUCGGAAGAACACCCAUGGCGAAGGCAGCAUUCUGGCUCAACCUGACGCUGAGGAGCGAAAGCCA
rnacentral:rRNA from 1 species